rnacentral:lncRNA from 1 species
CAUCUGUCGGGUAAAAACGAAAACCUGGAGGUAAGCUCAACUGGGCUAACGGAUCCUUCUCUCUAACUCCCAUUUUUUUCUCUACAGCAGAUAAAAUAAUGUGUUUAGAUGUUUAAGUUCGUCGAUCUCUUUUAGACAACCAUGCAAGUAGCUGCUUUAUAUAUAGGCUGUGGAAAAGACGGGCUCUUCGAGGAUAAGUACGGUCCUUCUUGUCUUACUGUAAAAUCUAAACACGAUUUUCUUUGUGGACCAUUUGGACCAUUGACAUACAGCCACGUACAUGCAACUGCCGACCUUGUCAGUGAGCUGUACAAUCUUUUCGACCGAGAUAAAUGUGCGU